UGUACCGUCAGCAACUGAGCAGUUUGAAUGCUAUUAUGAGCGGAUAAAUCUUCUCGAAAUAAUCAACAGGAUUACAUGACAAAUUGUUGCUGAGGGUUCUUCGUUGGGGGUGCGAUCUUUAGGGUUUAUGGCUGAGGAGCCGAGGAACUUCUGGGAAUGAACGUUCCCCAAGGUGAAGAAGGGAAGAAGGCGAAGUUUAGGCUUGCGGUUGGGUCGCAGAUGUUUGAGGUGAAGUCCCGGUUUGAUGUAACGGUGUUUCUCGUUCUCGCGAUUGUAGCUAUCGGACUUGGUCCUCUGAUCCUCUUCCCGCUGGCGGAGAAAGAUCGAAGAGCAUUGAUCCAAACAUCCCUUAAAUCUUUUCCAUCUUGAUGGGAAGAACCCGCGGGACUUUCAGGAUUUGGGGCUCCCUUUCGAAGCUUUUCUUUUAGAGACUUUCUAAAAGGAAGGACGGCAUCUUUCUCCCUUCAUGACAUGAAUUCACUCUACCACUGUGCCUAUCUUCCCACGCGUGCCUUGCUAUAGCAUUUUGGUCGACUGCAUUGAUAUUUUAUCAAACUUUUUUCCUUCAAAAAGAAGUGAGUAUGAGUUGCUGAAACCAUUAUGACUGACAUUCCUAUUAUAUUCCAAUGCUUUUUCAGGAUUUAGAUGCAGUGCCCUUAUCUGUAUCACAUAAAGACGCCAUUGUGGCUGCGUACGUGAGGUUUCUGGCUCCGAAGGAGUUGAACAGAUGCAGAUCAUGAAGAUGAAUUUUUCUAGAGCACCUUUUCUUAUGAGCUUCUUGAUUCAUUGUCAUUCUUUCAUGAAACCUUUCCAUUAAUUAUUCUAUGGCUGCAAGCAAUUUUUCUUUGGAACUUUUUAAAUAUUUCAUUAACUCCUCUUGACAAAAGGCUGAGGAAAUCUAAUGCAGUUCAGUUAGUCUAUAAUAUAUAGCAUGCCAGUAAUUUAUAAUUGAUCUAUUUAAAUGGAAACUUUAAUUUUUGUUUUUGCUGAUUUUUUUCUUAUUUUAGAAGGGUGCUACGGUUGUCUGUUUCUUUUUCUUUUUUGUUGGAGCAGUAAUUGGUGAUGAGGAAAAAGCAAAAGAAACUGUCAAAGCAGUUCAUCUAUUGGUAUGAAAUAAGACAAAUUUUCUUUUGUAGUUUUCAUAUAUUGACCUCAGUCUAUAAUUGUUUUGUCUUUGCAGGACAGGAUCUGUCUCCAAAUGAUUUCAUUAAUAUCCAAAAAUUUCCUCACAGGAUUAACAAUGUCUCCAAAUAUUGGAAGAAAAUCUUUAUGAGUAUCUUGUUACAAAAAUGAAUUUCUGGUUCAAGAUGGACAGCAGAAAGAUGAAACUUCUGUAAAGAAAAAUGAGAAGAAGAAAUCUAAAGGUGUGAAUGUCGAUGGUGAACUCAUGGCAAAGGAUAAACCUCUUGAAGUUGUUGCCGAUCGAAAUGAGACUACUGACCCAGCAACCGAAAAGAACAAGAAACAUUAGUUGGAGGAGCAAAAACAAGAAGAGGUUCUGCUUGAGCUGAAUGAUGAUGAUGCUGCAGAACAAAAUAGGACGUCCAGAAAGUUAAAAAGAGUUAUGAAGAUAUAUUUUGAUGGGAAUUUCCAAAUGAGAAUCUAAAUAAAAAGAAAAAACAAGAUGACUAGUAUGUGCCAUAUGAAUCCGACGUAUUACCAUGCUUUGCUGUUAUACAAGUGACUUUUAGAGCCUCUCAGUUUGAUAAAAGAGUGAAUGAUGUAGAAUUGAGGAAUAUGUUA